CCUACGGGGGGCAGCAGUAGGGAAUUUUCCACAAUGGGCGAAAGCCUGAUGGAGCAACGCCGCGUGGGUGAAGAAGGUCUUCGGAUCGUAAAACCCUGUUGUUAGAGAAGAAAGUGCGUGAGAGUAACUGUUCACGUUUCGACGGUAUCUAACCAGAAAGCCACGGCUAACUACGUGCCAGCAGCCGCGGUAAUACGUAGGUGGCAAGCGUUAUCCGGAUUUAUUGGGCGUAAAGGGAACGCAGGCGGUCUUUUAAGUCUGAUGUGAAAGCCUUCGGCUUAACCGGAGUAGUGCAUUGGAAACUGGGAUACUUGAGUGCAGAAGAGGAGAGUGGAACGCCAUGUGUAGCGGUGAAAUGCGUAGAUAUUAGGAGGAACACCAGAGGCGAAGGCGGCUAACUGGACUGCAACUGACGCUGAGGCACGAAAGUGUGGGGAGCAAACAGGAUUAGAUACCCCGGUAGUC
rnacentral:rRNA from 1 species